rnacentral:rRNA from 1 species
UACGGAAGGCAGCAGUGGGGAAUAUUGCACAAUGGGCGCAAGCCUGAUGCAGCCAUGCCGCGUGUAUGAAAAAGGCCCUUCGGGUUGUAAAGUACUUUUCAGUCGUGAGGAAGGUGUUAAGGUUAAUAACCUUAGCAAUUGACGUUAGCGACAGAAGAAGCACCGGCUAACUCCGUGCCAGCAGCCGCGGUAAUACGGAGGGUGCGAGCGUUAAUCGGAAUUACUGGGCGUAAAGGGCACGCAGGCGGUUAAUUAAGUUGGAUGUGAAAUCCCCGGGCUUAACCUGGGAAUGGCAUUCAAGACUGGUUAGCUAGAGUCUUGUAGAGGGGGUAGAAUUCCAUGUGUAGCGGUGAAAUGCGUAGAGAUGUGGAGGAAUACCGGUGGCGAAGGCGGCCCCUGGACAAAGGACUGACGCUCAUGUGCGAAAGCGUGGGGAGCAAACAGGGAUUAGAUACC